rnacentral:rRNA from 1 species
UACGUAGGGUGCAAGCGUUAAUCGGAAUUACUGGGCGUAAAGCGUGCGCAGGCGGUUUUGUAAGACUGUCGUGAAAUCCCCGGGCUUAACCUGGGAAUUGCGAUGGUGACUGCAAGGCUAGAGUUUGGCAGAGGGGGGUAGAAUUCCACGUGUAGCAGUGAAAUGCGUAGAGAUGUGGAGGAACACCGAUGGCGAAGGCAGCCCCCUGGGUCAAAACUGACGCUCAGGCACGAAAGCGUGGGGAGCAAACAGG